rnacentral:rRNA from 1 species
AGAGUUUGAUCCUGGCUCAGGAUAAACGCUGGCGGCGCACAUAAGACAUGCAAGUCGAACGAACUUAACCAUUAGUUUACUAUUGAGCGGUUAGUGGCGGACUGGUGAGUAACACGUAAGCAACCUGCCUAUCAGAGGGGAACGAACAGUUAGAGAUGACUGCUAAUACCGCAUAUGCCUUAGAAUCACAUGGUUCAAAAGGGAAAGGAGCAAUCCACUGAUAGAUGGGCUUGCGU